GACGAACGCUGGCGGCGUGCUUAACACAUGCAAGUCGAGCGGUAAGGCCCUUUCGGGGGUACACGAGCGGCGAACGGGUGAGUAACUACGUGGGUGACCUGCCCUCAGCUCUGGGAUAAGCCCGGGAAACUGGGUCUAAUACUGGAUAUGACUCCAUGACGCAUGUUGUGGGGUGGAAAGCCUUGUGCGGCUGAGGAUGGGCCCGCGGCCUAUCAGCUUGUUGGUGGGG
rnacentral:rRNA from 1 species